AUAUCGUAUCUUGAGAAGGGAGAUUCCAGCAGCAGCAGCCUCCAGUAGCAGCUCCCACUCCUCAGAUGCUGCAGAGCUGCACCUCACACACAACACCCAGCAGCAUCCAGGAGCACAGCUGCUCUCUACUCACACUCCCACGGAGGAUGGCCCCGGUGAUGACACACAGAGGGGCUGUGAAUGCUGUGCUGAAGUUCCAGACACCAGCCACUGGG